UACGAAGGAUGCAAGCGUUAUCCGGAUUUAUUGGGUUUAAAGGGUGCGUAGGCGGUCUUAUAAGUCAGUGGUGAAAUCUUGUCGCUUAACGACAAACGUGCCAUUGAUACUGUAGGACUUGAGUACAGAUGCCGUUGGCGGAAUGUGUCAUGUAGCGGUGAAAUGCAUAGAUAUGACACAGAACACCGAUUGCGAAGGCAGCUGACGAAACUGUAACUGACGCUGAUGCACGAAAGCGUGGGGAU
rnacentral:rRNA from 1 species